rnacentral:lncRNA from 1 species
GCUAGCUGUAAACCACUUCUUAUGAUAACAUACCUCCCUUUUUCUUAUCAUAGAGAGAAGAAAAAAUGAAAAAGGGGAAGCCGAUGCUAAAAGGGAAAUAGGGGCUUUAGACCUCUUAAACUGCUCCCUGCUGUCUAGGAGCAUUAUCAGUUUUGGGAUGUAGCUGACUUUCACCAUCCAGGCCCACUUGAUAGUUGUGUAAAAGGAACUGUUUGGUUUUUGGUUAGAAAAUAUGGAAUUUGUCUUUGAAGGAAUGUCGAAACAAGAUAAAUGAGGCAGGGAGGAAAUAGUAUCUCCAGGAAAAUGGGGAGAAGAGGCAUUAAGAAGGCAGUAUCCUAUUUCCAUAUAGGGUUUUGAAAAACCCAGGAAUUGGAGGCCUCAUGCUGUUCCCUGCAUUUCUGGAUGUCUGAUUGCAGCUGAUGGAAUGUAUUUCUUACUGCCCCAGAUUCGUUGACAUAGAAACAGCAUUCUUCCUGGUGAAAUAGACAAAGACCACCUUCUUUAGCUGUCAGGACUUCUAGUCCCUGUCAGUUCUGAAGCACAACUGCUGCCAAAGAAUCGAACUUUUUCUGGAUGAUGAGCAUGGUUUCAUACAUUCACUGGAAACGGUUGCAAGCUUGGAUAAGAAUUUCUGGGAAGUCUUCGGCCCUGCUAUUCCAGUGCCAGCACCUGUAGCUACUCCUGCAGCAACCAGGAUUGGCACAACCUGCAGUGCCCUCUUAUGCUGGACAGCUCUGGCCGAAUCUUUCAUGCACCACUGUGACAGCCAAUUCUGUGAAAAACUGACUCAUAAAAGGCCAGUGAAAGAAGAACACAGACUGGAAACAAUUUAAAAAAGUCUAUUCAGUCCCAAAUCAAAGGACACCUGCCUGUUAAGAUAAAGGACAGAGCAAGCAGUGAAGAUCCAGGUAAAUAUAUUUAAAAUGCAAAUUAUACCAGCCCUCCACAAACACCAUGAAGUCAACAAAAUGAUCUAAGUGUUAAAAAGAAAAAACAAAACAAAC